CCUACGGGUGGCAGCAGUGGGGAAUAUUGCGCAAUGGGCGAAAGCCUGACGCAGCGACGCCGCGUGAGGGAUGAAGGUCUUCGGAUCGUAAACCUCUGUCAGCAGGGAAGAACGGUCACUGUGCUAAUCAGCAGUGAAUUGACGGUACCUGCAAAGGAAGCACCGGCUAACUCCGUGCCAGCAGCCGCGGUAAUACGGAGGGUGCGAGCGUUAAUCGGAAUUACUGGGCGUAAAGCGCUCGUAGGCGGUAUGUCAAGUCAAGGGUGAAAUCCCCGGGCUCAACGUGGGAACUGCCUUUGAACAUGGGAAAGGGGAGUGUGUGAGAGGAUAGUGGAAUGCCAGGUGUAGGGGUGAAAUCAGUAGAUAUCGGGAGGAACAACAGGGGCGAAGGCGACUAUCUGGCACAUAACUGACGCUGAGGAGCGAAAGCGUGGGUAGCAAACAGGAUUAGAUACCCUAGUAGUC
rnacentral:rRNA from 1 species